AGUCCACUAUUGAACAUAUGUAGAUUUGGAAGUUGGAAGUUGGUGUUGAUUUGGGCAGACCCUCGCUGCUAUAAAAGUGGGAGCUGCACAACAAUGUUAUUAACCCAAGCGGACCUUCAUGAUGUCAUCGGGAAAAAAAAGUGACUGCAGAGAGUGCCCAAUUUGCGGGAACUUCAUUUCCCACUUGAGUCAACACCUACAAAAAACCCUGCUCCUCCGCUCCUCCGCCCGCUGGUCCAGUGGGCGUGUUACAGGUCGAUUAAACUGCCGAGUUUGCGACAAGGUGGUCUUGUCCCGCCUGGACAAAC